GAUGAAGAACGUAGCGAAAUGCGAUAAGUAAUGCGAAUUGCAGAAUUCAGUGAGUCAUCGAAUCUUUGAACGCACAUUGCGCCCUGUGGUAUUCCGCAGGGCAUGCCUGUUCGAGCGUCAUUUCAACCCUCAAGCCUCGCUUGGUGUUGGGCCCUGCCCGCCGCGGCCGGCCCUAAAGAUAGUGGCGGCGCCGCCUGGCCCUCAGCGUAGUACAGCUCUCGCUCCAGGGUCCGGCGGCAGCCUGCCAGAACCCCCCAACUCUGUGGUUGACCUCGGAUCAGGUAGGGAUACCCGCUGAACUUAAGCAUAUCAAUAGCGGAGGA
rnacentral:misc_RNA from 1 species